GGGAAGUCAUGAUAAUGAGUUCACCCAGACCAGAUUAGUUUACCAGGGGAGUUCUCUUGUUUGGCCCUUCCGGAUAUUUGCGCCGUUUGCUAUUAUGCGCUGUACGAAGGGCGAGGGGAGCGCACGUUAAGUCAGAUGCAGUGUGGGAGUGGUGGUCUUCGACUCUCUUCUUCGUCCCCCUUCGCUAGAUGGCUUAUAUUGCGCCAUUCUUGCACCAAAUUGUUCGUUGGAGGGCUUUGUUAUGAUACCAAUGAAAGUGUUCUCAAGGAUGCUUUUGGACAGCACGGUGAAAUAAUUGAAGCAGUGAAAGUUAUAUGUGAUCACGUGACCGGAAAAUCAAAAGGAUAUGGGUUUGUGCAGUUCAAUUCUGAGACUGCAGCUGGCACAGCCUUGAGGGAAAUGGAUGGCCAGUUAUUGGAUGGCAGAUGUAUACGCAUUCAAUAUGGACGCAAGGGGUGACCACAAGGAACUGAGGUUUGAUUCAAUACUUAAGUAGUUUGAGUUCUGUUUUUUACUUAGGUGGUUCACUCACUUCCCACAAGCAAUUCUUGAUGAGUAGCUCAAUUGUUAGUGAUUGGCGAACUUAAGCUAAAUACAAAUGGUUGUUCUAAGGGAGACCCCGGCAGGCAGGAUAUGAGGGACUUUUGAGGUGCGAGACAGGCACUUGGUUAUGGGGCUACCAUGGCAAAUUGGGCCACUGCACAAGUCUGGAAGCAGAAAUUUGGGCAAUAUAUACCAAUGUGGAAAUUGAAACUGAUUCAGAACAAGCCAUGCACCAAAUUCAACAUGGUCCAAAUCCAAAUUCUCCUCUCAAGGCUCUCAUUGAAAUGCUAAAUUUCUCCUCCAGAGGUGUCACUGCUCACUGCUCCAUACAUUGAGAGAGGGAAACAAAGUUGCUGAUAGGUUUGCUAAUCUGGGAGUAGCUCAAGAAGAACAUGUAAUGAUUCUUGAGGAUCCACCUGAUGAAGUCACAGCUCUUCUCAUAGAUGACACAACUGUAGUGAGGGACUUACCCUCUAGAUGUUGUUUUGAACUCCUUUUCUGCUUGUUUGCUUUAAUUUCCUUUGAAUAAAAAAAAAUGAAAAAGAAAAAGAAA